UACGUAGGGACCAAGCGUUGUCUGGAAUCAUUGGGCGUAAAGAGCGCGUAGGCGGCUUGUUAAGUCUUGCGUGAAAUCUCGGGGCUCAACCCCGAGCGGUCGUGAGAAACUGGCAGGCUAGAGUGCGGGAGAGGAGAGUGGAAUUCCUGGUGUAGCGGUGAAAUGCGCAGAUAUCAGGAAGAACACCCGUGGCGAAGGCGGCUCUCUGGAACGCAACUGACGCUGAGACGCGAAAGCGUGGGGAGCGAACCGG
rnacentral:rRNA from 1 species